GAUGAACGCUGGCGGCGUGCCUAACACAUGCAAGUCGAACGCUCGCAAGAGAGUGGCGCACGGGUGAGUAACACGUAGCUAAUCUGCCCUCAAGACAAGGAUAACUGUAGGAAACUACUGCUAAUACUUGAUAAGCUUACGGACUGUAGAGGUCUAUAAGAAAGAUUUAUCGCUUGAGGAUGAGGCUGCGCGCCAUCAGCUAGUUGGUAAGGUAAUGGCUUACCAAGGCGACGACGGCUAGGGGACCUGAGAGGGUGACCCCCCACACUGGGACUGAGACACGGCCCAGACUCCUACGGGAGGCAGCAGUGGGGAAUUUUGGACAAUGGGCGCAAGCCUGAUCCAGCCAUGCCGCGUGU
rnacentral:rRNA from 1 species